rnacentral:lncRNA from 1 species
UUUUUUUCGAGGAUUUUUAUUAUUAUUAUUAUUAUUAAAUAAAAGUAGAAAACGAAUAAAAAAAAUCCGAAAAAGUAAUGAAUGCUGUUGUAAGAGGAAGAUUUGCUUAAAGAGAAAAAAAAAAAAAUAAAAAGCAAAUAAAAUAAAAAAUAGAAGAUAAAGUAACGUGGGGUAAUCAACAAAAGAAGAAGAAAAAUAAUAAGAAGAAGUUAUAUAUUCCGAAAUACAAUUAUAGUUUGUUUCAAAAUUUUAAGAAAAGUAGUACAAUCGAAUCGCGUUGUUUUCCGCGAGAUCGACAAACAAAGUUCUUUCUUUUUUUUUCCUCUCAUUUUUUCCUUUUCUUUUUCCUUUAAAGAAGAAAAAAAAAAGGAACGAACGAUAUCCAUCCUCUCCCCGACCUCCCCAACCCACCCACUCACCCUCUUUUUACGGUUCGUCGAAGUAACGAAAAGAAAAGUGAAUUUCUGUUGUGACGAAACAAACAUUCAAGCUUGAGAAAACCAUCACACCGACCUCGAUAAUUACGAUGACAACCAUAUUCAAUCCCGGUUAAACUACUACAUGCAUAGGAUACUUCGACAUGUUCAUUCGUAUCGAACGAAAAAAAAGCUUCAAAUAGACGAGAAAACACAGCACAGAUCAACAUAACGAGAAGAAAUACGAAGAUGUUGAAGGAAACUCAUGCUAUUCCUUUCGAGCAGAAAAUAUUUCUAAAGAAAUGGGGGAAUAGCGAUUACAAAACGCCAGGAUGAAGAUGAAUCGAUCGAGGAAGAAGAUGCAACGAACCGAUUAUUAAGAUUAGGUGCACCAAUGAAAAGUGUCAUCCGUCCUUGUUCGAAUCGCAACGUGCCUUACUUUCGACCAUCACCAAUCCGGUCACGAGAUGAUUUUCACUUUGCGAAAAACAGCCUGUUUAAGUUUAAUUAUUAUUACUUUUUUUUCCCUUUUCUUUUUUUUUUUUUUUUUUUCGUUGAAACACACCUUUCGAAACCAUCUUGAAGAAGAAGAAAAAAGAAAUUGAAAUAAUAACAUUGGACAAGGGAAAGAAAUGUGAUUGCUGUUCGAAGUUUACAUUGAUUAUGCGAAACGUUGCAUCAAUUUGCAUUUGAAUAUCAAGAGGAAAAAAAAGGAAUGUAUCGAUGAAUAAAACCUUCCAUACUCUAUUGUUCCUACUUAAUGGGGGAAUUCAACACAAACACAUCGAAGAAUCGAAGAAUUUACGAUGGAUGAAUGAUAUCGAAAGGGUUUUUUUUUUUCUCUAUGGUAUUCAAGAUGAUUAAUUUUACUAUGUGAUCACGUUACCAAUCCCUUUUCCUCUCAAUUCCCCAUAGUCCUAAACCGAUAGUUAUUCCAUAUAAACUGUCGAUGUACACUACACUAUUAAUUUUUCUUAACGUUUAACAAAAUUUUUCGUUUAAACAAAUUGUCUUUGAUAUAUUUUGGUGCUAUGAUAAUACAAUGUUUAAUUACAAAUAUGAUAACGUAUUAUCCGAAAAUAUAAAACAUUCUAAAUUCGGAUAAGAUCAAUUUUCUAUAGAGAACACGCGUGCAAAUUUAUUAUCAAAGACACAUUUAACAAAACACGCACACAUUUUUCAUCGUUAAUUAUCGAUUUAAUUUUUUUCUUUUUUUUUCGUAUUUUAAACAACGACAUGAGUACUUUUUUUUUUUUUUUUCCUCAUCGAUGAUAAUAAUACCACGGUCAAUUUUAAUUAAAAAAAAAAAACAAUUUUAAACAUUUAUAAAAGCUUUAUAUACGUAUGAACAAUUUUUGAUUUACAAGUACAGGCAGUAUGUAACAAAAAAAAAAAAGAAUAAUAUAAAGAAAGAAAGAAAAAGAGAAAAAAAAACAUAAUACUCUCUAAUGGUGUGCCAUGAUGUUCGAGAGAUAUUUAAGAAAAAAAAAA